rnacentral:lncRNA from 10 species
GCGGAGGUGCUGCCCACGCCUGGAGGCCCCCACUGACCCUCAGACCCGCGUCUGCGCCCCUCUCCCCGCACCCCGAGGCAGAGUUGGGAAAGCAGUGGUCUUAGACCCCCCACCUCGGGCACUCGGAAGAGAACGGCGGAGACAACCCCUCCUCUUCCCUGGCUGGCGCAGCGCCAGCCUCGAGCUCCUCGGUAGCCCCCGGGCAGGGAGGGCCGGAGGGUGGGCGCGGCAUCUUCAGCGACUCUUCGAAGUCCCUUCCGCGUCUCAUCUUUCAAGGCUGUUGCAGAGGCGGCUUGCUUCCCACCUGUCCAUCUCCAUAAAAAUCCCUAAACGAAACAUGCCCACGUGUCCGGAGAUUUUCAGGACUUGGUGCAUUUCAGAUGAAGGCUUUUCCAGAAGCUUCCCCGUAGAAGAGGAUCAGGCAUCCAACUGGUUAAGGGAUGCCAGAAGGGCCGUUGGUGAGGAAAUUUCACCAUUUGGUCUCCCCCUUUGUGGGUCAGCAGGUGGUCAAGACAGGGGGCAGCAGUAAGAAGCUACAGCCCGCCAGCCUGCAGUCUCUGUGGCUCCAGGACACCCAGGUGAGGUAAUACUCCUCUGAAGGGUUGGCUCUGUCGCCCAUCCUGCGCCUCCCCUAGGAUCUAUCCCCAUAUGUCUCAGGGUGUCACUUCCCUGAGUCCGGAACCACCAAGCUCGGACUCCAUGCAGCUCCCUCUUUCAGUCUCACGUGUCUCAGCCAGAAGUAGAUAUCGCUGUGGACUGUAGAACUGUAAAGAACACGUGUGGAUGAGCUGGAGACCCCGAUUCAGAGGGUCUGGAGUGCUCCUAUUCUCUCCGGCCGCAGCUGAUGGGCACCUUUGGCUGGGAACUGUGUUCUAUUCCCCUGAGCCAGUGGAGAAUUAAGGACAGAGCAGAACCGGCUGGGCACGGUGGCUCGCACCUGUAAUCCCAGCACUUUGGGAGGCCGAGGCGGGUGGAUCACUAGGUCAGGAGUUCAAGACCAGCCUGGCUAACAUGAUGAAACCCCGUCUCUACUAAAAAUGCAAAAAUUGGCUGGGUGUGGUGGUGGGCGCCUGUAAUCCCAGCUGCUCGGGAAGCUGAGGCAGGAGAAUUGCUUGAACCCGGGAGGCCGAGAUUGCAGUGAGAUGAGAUUGUGCUACUGCACUCCAGCCUGGGUGACAGAGUGAGACUCCGUCU